GAACUUACAAGUUACUGCUUAUCGGAUAGAAUUGGGAAGGCAGCAGGGCAAACAUUGAUAUAGCAGAAAUAUCAAAUGUUUCCUCAAUAGAUUUACUGCUUUGGCCUGUUUUCUUACACUGAAUACCUAAGGAUUUUGGACACUCUCAGGUGUGUCUAAUCCCUUCAUCCUUUCAACACCAGGUAUUUUAAACUGGUUUUCCCUGGGUAUCUUCUCUCUCCUUGGAAUUGUCUGCACUUGGUGGCUUCCAGAACUGGAUCCUUUACUACUGAUCCCAAGCACCACAUGAGAACAGACCCUCCAUGUGCUCCAAACCCAUACAGAAGAAAAGGACUUCAUUAAAUGUUGCCACCCCUGAGCUCUGGUGUUCCUCCUGAAAACGUAGUGGAAGACUAUCAUAAUUAUGUAAAACUUUUUACAAGGCUCGUAGUGUUACUACCACAACACUGCUUCUGACAUGAAUGAGAUCAGUUUCAUUCACAAGAGAGAUAAAUUUCAUUCAGGUAUUUGUUUCAUCCUACUGAUGACUUGUAGCUUCCAGUAUGUGAGUUUUUUAUCUUGGCUAAUGGGAAAAGGAUUUCUUGACUAUGAUAUUUUCCGAAGCCAAUUUACCCAAGAGGUGCAAAAAGCAAGCGGUUUGGUGGGUGAUUGCUAAUGUUCUGACAGUACAUGGUGUGUUAUGGGGGAACAUUUAUUAAACAAACAAUGUUAACUUGACCUAAGAAUGAAGUUUGAUCUCUAACAGGAAGCCCUAUCUAAUGAUUAAACCAUGGAAUUAGGCUGUUAGGACUAUAGCUAAUAAAUGCUUAUAACCGAGAUGCUGCAAUUCUUCAUUCUAGACACAUGCUGACCGCAACGAAAUCCAAAGACCAAAGGGAGGUGAUUUAAAGCCACUCACUGAGAAAAGAGCUGCUUCCAGCCAGCCCAAGGAAAGGAUAAAUACAAGGAAAGGCUGGACUUUGACCUCUUUUGAGGCUAGGUGCCUGAGGGAAGCAUAUGAGGUGAUUCACAGCAGGGCAAGAUUCACUGAACCAGAAGGGAGGUCUUAAGGAAGCUGACUCCACUUUUCUUAGCUCUGUGGUUUUUAGCUGAGAGCAGGCAGGCAACUUCUGCUUUUGGAGAGCUGUUUUGCCCUAGGCAGUCACAGAAGAGUUGGAAUGACACAGAGACCAGAGAUAAGUGGGCAUCCUCACCCCAACAGGUCUGUGAUUUAGAAAGUGAGGCACUGUCCAGGAGAGUGGGCUCUGUUGGGAGAAGAGGGAAAAAGGAGGGUCACUUCUUACCCCUUGACACAGCAGAUUGAUUUGGCUGAAUGAUUGAGACUACAUAAUGCCACUCUUUCUCUCAGCUACCUGUAACACAGGCCUUUAAACAUUAGAGAAGCCAUGAUCCUGCAGUGACCUAGUAAGAUUCUCAAAAACACUUAGCCCAAGAGGAAGGAAGCACUGUUAGAGCACAGUGUUUAAUGUGUUCUGAUCAUUCUUUAAAUAUUUUUCUGUAGCCAACAUACUAGCUCUUAACAUGAGCUACUAUGAUUACAGUAAAGCCAAGGAGAGAGCCUUGGAGUUUAACAAAACCAGCUUAAAAUAUGAAAAUUUGGUGAGUUUUUUUGCAGUGGGUUUAGAAAUAGCUGUCAGAAUGUCCUUACAAUUUGUGGCAUGGUGCUGCACAGUGAAUUUGGUGCCACCAUCAAAUUUUAAAUACUGAAGCCUAGAUAUUUGAAGCAAUUUAGGUAGUCAGUCCUAUGAAUAUAGAGGAGGCUUGGGAUGAGAGCCAGCUGCCUAAGAUCAGGUGGACAGAGACCUUCCAGGUGCCUGAUGGUACCCAAAUAAUCUGCAUUUGGCAGGCAGACAUGAUGUGGUCCUGACGGGACCUGCAGGAAUCCCAUGCUCUGCUGGAGAGGCCUUUGAGGAGGACACCCUAUGGGCCAUCCGGGGAACUCUGAACAUCCACGACAAGGCACUUGAACCACUUGGUCAGUUCUUGGGGCAAUGUUUGCUCUGCACACAGAGAUGCCCUGUGGGCUCUAUCUGCUCAGCCCUUGCUGAGGAGUUCCACACCCCACUGCAUUCUGUGGGGCAAGACCAUUACAGUGGUAACGUGGAUACAGACAACAUCCAUGUUGAAAUGAGCUGUUUUUCAAGGGAGGAAUAUGUUUUUUCUAUUCUGAUCUGUGACACCUAAGUGAAAAUUGAAUCCUAAAAUUGUAUUUUAUUAUGUGUUGGUAAAGCACAGCAAAGAUUUUCAAUGCUUUAUUAAAGGUUUUUAAUAUGCUUGAUUGCAUAUAUCCCAGCCAAAAUCUUCUCUAUCCUACAUAGGUAUUUAUCUCAGCCAGCAGAUUUUGUUUGCUCAGAUCCAAAUUAGAAAGUAUUUAAAGCAGAUAGCACAUCUCUAAAAAUAUACUGAAUUUACAAUGAAGCUUUAACAUUCUCUUGCUAAAUUUCACACAUCUGAUUUGAUUUCUGAAAAGAAAAGGUAAACACGGAAAUUUUCUUCACUAGUUCUCAUGCGCUGCUUGCAACAAUACAAGAAGAAUAUUUCCUAUUUUACUACCAUGUAUUUGAAGCAGAGAACAAAUGCCCAUUCCCUUUACAGGCAAGGAAGUCAAGUUUCCAACUGCAGUUAAUGCCGUGUUUUGUUCUAUUUCUUGGUAAUGUAAGCUCUUAUGCAAAUUGAAUGUCUGCUGUUCAGGCCCAGUUGACUACAACAGGGGAGGCUGGAACCAAAUUGCUUCUGUCUGUCUUAACAGGACUUUUUAAUAAAAUCUACUUUACAUAGCCACGAAUCUUGCCAGGUUAAAUUCUCACUUUAUCUGUGUUCACAUUCUUGUUAAUUUAUUUUAACUGCAGCAGAGAAGGUUAGGGUAAUGGGAAGAGCCGAAAGUGGAAUGUUACAGUGAAACCUGCUGCCUGUAUUUAGAUAAUUUUCUUUCAAAGUGAUAGACCAUUAAACCUCUAAAUUGUUUUAUUUGCUACUAAAAAAUGUCUUUGCUUAGUCUUUGAGUCCCAGGAACUAAUGAAAGAAGCCUUAGAAGAAAAUCAGCAGAUUUUGUAAAAGUAAAACUAAUAUUAUGUGCAGAGCUUGUACAAUACUAUAACUUUUGACUUUGUAGAAAAUGAGAUAGUGCAUCAAAAAAGACAGUUUUUAUAGAGAUUACAAAUGUUUAUUUCUCCCUUAACUUUAAAAAUAAUAGUUUAAAAAUUCAGGUUUAACAGAUUUUUCUAGUCACUACUUUAAAAACAUUUAUCU